UACGUAGGGUGCGAGCGUUAAUCGGAAUUACUGGGCGUAAAGCGUGCGUAGACGGCUAUCUAAGUCGGGUGUGAAAGCCCCGGGCUCAACCUGGGAAUUGCAUUCGAGACUGAAUAGCUAGGGUGCGGUAGAGGGAAGCGGAAUUUCCGGUGUAGCGGUGAAAUGCGUAGAUAUCGGAAGGAACAUCAGUGGCGAAAGCGGCUUCCUGGACCAGCACCGACGUCAGGCACGAAAGCGUGGGGAGCAAACAGG
rnacentral:rRNA from 1 species